CCUACGGGUGGCAGCAGUGGGGAAUAUUGCGCAAUGGGCGAAAGCCUGACGCAGCGACGCCGCGUGAGGGAUGAAGGUCUUCGGAUCGUAAAGCUCUGUUGGUAGUGAAGAAAGAUAGAGGUAGUAACUGGCCUUUAUUUGACGGUAAUUACUUAGAAAGUCACGGCUAACUACGUGCCAGCAGCCGCGGUAAUACGUAGGUGGCAAGCGUUGUCCGGAUUUAUUGGGCGUAAAGCGAGUGCAGGCGGUUCAAUAAGUCUGAUGUGAAAGCCUUCGGCUCAACCGGAGAAUUGCAUCAGAAACUGUUGAACUUGAGUGCAGAAGAGGAGAGUGGAACUCCAUGUGUAGCGGUGGAAUGCGUAGAUAUAUGGAAGAACACCAGUGGCGAAGGCGGCUCUCUGGUCUGCAACUGACGCUGAGGCUCGAAAGCAUGGGUAGCGAACAGGAUUAGAUACCCCAGUAGUC
rnacentral:rRNA from 1 species